UCUCUUACUCUCUGCAGAGUGUCUCCAUCAAACCCCUCCCCCACCAGGGCUCAGACAACCCUGUGGAAGAGGAGACAGAAAGAGCAGAAGAGACCGAAGGGAUGGAAGACACGGAGAAAGCAAGGCCCUGCAAGCCAACAUGAUCAAAGGUCACAGGAACUCACAGAGACUGAGGCAGCGUGCACAGGGCCUGCAGGGUCUGCACGGGGCCUCCACAUCGAUUUUAUGGUUUCCAGGAAGAGAAAACUUGGAAGUGAAAAUGUACUUACUGGGAAAACUGAAGAAAAGAGAGAAGAUGGCCAUAUAGCACAAAGGAUCCACAAACUGAUCUGUCUCUUUCCAUGGUGAUUUGUUUCCAACCUCCAGAGCCAAGCCAAGAGCCUCCUGUUUCUUCAUCUUUUAUUAUCUCUGUGUGCAGCUGAGGAAUGCAGCCUUUAAACAGCUCAAAUGGCUGGAAGCCAAGGGAAGAACCUAUCACAACAGUGUCCUGCCCUCCAUGAAGAAUACCCAACUCCACUGAAACUUCACAUUCUGCCUUCACCACGAGCAAGUAGCUGCGGUCACCCUACUCUCCAUCACCCUUGGGUCCCACCAACACUUCAGAGGAGAUGGGGAGAAAGAGAAGAGAUGGCUUCCAAGAAAGGUUAAGGUUAGGGCCCAGGUAUCAUCUGUCAACUGGAGUUAUCCACAGCAGCCUCAGUCCUCAUGAUUCACCUGAUUCUUUGAGCUCAGCAGCACCCUGCCAUUUGCCUUCUUUAUAGUACUGUGACCGUAUCACCUAUCUGUUGCCCCCCAACUCUGAAUCAUUUUCCACAACAAUCCUAAGGGGUAGACAGUGAAAGCAAUUAUGCUGGUUGGCUUCAACUGUAGCUGACAAUUACCUGAGAAGAGAGCCUCAAUAGAAACAUUACCUAGAUCAGGUUGGUCUUUAGGGGACUGUCUUGAUUGCUGAUUAGUGUGGGAAGACCCAGUCCAUUGUAGGUAGACCCAAUACCUGGGUAGGGGUUCCCAGAUUGUAUAGGACAGAAGAAAUCUAGAUGAGUAGAAAGCAAGCAAGAAGCCAUCCAUUUAUUCUCUUGCUCUUAACCAAGGACGUGAUGUUUCAAGUUCCUGCCUUGUCUUCCCUGCAAGAUGGGCAAAUAAAUCUGGAACUGUUUCUUCCCUAAAGCUGCUUUUGGUUGUGGUAUUUUGUCACAGCAACAGAAACAAGACUGGAAUAAAAUCACUCUCUGGGAAGGCUGGCCAGCCUCUUCUACCUUAGCCUCUUCUAAGUCUGGAAACUGAAGUUUGUUUGG